rnacentral:lncRNA from 1 species
AGUGUUCUGCUAGCAAACCUUCAGAUAAAGAUGUAGAAAUCUCAGCUUCUCCUGCACCAUGCUUCUGUCUUGAUAAUAAUGGACUGAACCUCUGAACCUGGGAUGACUUUACUGAAGUAUGUGUGGAAGUGUGUCACUGUGGCACGGUGGGCUUUGAGGUCUCCUAUGCUCAAGCUAUGCCCAGUAUGGCAGGUACACCAUUCCCUUCUGCUGCCUGUGGAUCAAGAUGUAGAACUCUCAGCUCCUUCUCCAACACCAUGUUUGCCUGCACACUGCCGUGCUUCCUGCUGUGAUGAUAAUAGACUAAACUUCUGAAAAUCUUUAUUUAACUGUUGCCGAUCAUCCUAAGGACCAAAUGGUGGAUGUCCGGGGACCCUGCAGCAAGUUCUGUGCAUCUCGAGACUGCUUUCCAACUCCAGUAGACUGAGAACCUCACCUUCUCCUGCCACACUGAACCACAGUGACUGAGAACAGAACGGCUGGCAUCGUCAGUGAAUUCUAGGCACAGGUGUGCGCGCUGUCCCUGUCAACCAGUUCCGUACAGCACUUUGGCUAUCCUGGUCAACUUGAUAAGCUGCCUGAGACUCCUGUCCAUCCUGGCAACCGUCUGGUGGAGACUAUUACUUGUUUCUCUAAGAGGAGAUGGGUGGCUGAGCCUCACUUGUUGGUUUUUUUUUGACCUUAUAACCUCUGGCAACAUUAUUUGCUGACUCGGCAGAAAAGCCGUGUUUGCGAUAACACACCUCAGAUGCAAAGGACAGACUGAAGGGUCCCACAAGGAUACAGAAAUCGCCUUAUCCCACAGCCUUUUUCUAGCCAUCAUCACCUGCUCUCCACCACUAUUCAGUAAGGCAGAGAAACGAGUGUGUGGAUUCUACACAUCCUGAGUCCAACCCUUUUUAAGAACACCCUGGUAGGCAUAACUGGGGCCUUACCCUGCUCUCUCCUUUCAGUCUGGUGGUCUUUAAGCUACAUGGGUCUCUCUGAAGCUAAUUUGAGUUUCUACACUUUGUCUGACAGUAAGAAUGACUCCUUGUCUUGUACAUGUGUGAACCCAGGUAGCUUGAAGAUUAUUUUUGGACUACAUUAGUAAAUAGAUACUGUUGCCUGUC